CAGCGCUUUGUCCUGGAUGAAUUUGGCCAACUGGGAACGAAUGUCGUCGACGUUCAGCGGAUCGAAGUAG
rnacentral:SRP_RNA from 1 species